AACGAACGCUGGCGGCAGGCUUAACACAUGCAAGUCGAACGCCCCGCAAGGGGAGUGGCAGACGGGUGAGUAACGCGUGGGAAUCUACCCAUCUCUACGGAAUAACUCAGGGAAACUUGUGCUAAUACCGUAUACGCCCUUCGGGGGAAAGAUUUAUCGGAGAUGGAUGAGCCCGCGUUGGAUUAGCUAGUUGGUGGGGUAAAGGCCUACCAAGGCGACGAUCCAUAGCUGGUCUGAGAGGAUGAUCAGCCACAUUGGGACUGAGACACGGCCCAAACUCCUACGGGAGGCAGCAGUGGGGAAUAUUGGACAAUGGGCGCAAGCUUGAUCCAGCCAUGCCGCGUGAGUGAUGAAGGCCCUAGGGUUGUAAAGCUCUUUCACCGAUGAAGAUAAUGACUGUAGUCGGAGAAGAAGCCCCGGCUAACUUCGUGCCAGCCGCCGCAGUAAAAC
rnacentral:rRNA from 1 species